rnacentral:misc_RNA from 1 species
GAUGAAGAACGUAGCGAAAUGCGAUAAGUAAUGUGAAUUGCAGAAUUCAGUGAAUCAUCGAAUCUUUGAACGCACAUUGCGCCCGCCAGUAUUCUGGCGGGCAUGCCUGUCCGAGCGUCAUUUCAACCAUCAAGCCCCCGGGCUUGUGUUGGGGACCUGCGGCUGCCCGCAGGCCCUGAAAACCAGUGGCGGGCUCGCUGUCACACCGAGCGUAGUAGCAAUCACCUCGCUCAGGGCGUGCUGCGGGUUCCGGCCGUUAAACAGCCCUACAAAACCCAAGGUUGACCUCGGAUCAGGUAGGAAGACCCGCUGAACUUAAGCAUAUCAAUAAGCGGAGGA